rnacentral:tRNA from 1 species
CAGAGCGUGGCUGAAACAGUAAAGCAUCUCCCUUACACCGAGAAGAUAUCCAUGCGAGUUGGAUCGCCCUGA